rnacentral:rRNA from 1 species
GAUGAACGCUGGCGGCGUGCUUAACACAUGCAAGUCGAACGAAGCACUUUAUUUGAUUUCCUUCGGGACUGAUUAUUUUGUGACUGAGUGGCGGACGGGUGAGUAACGCGUGGGUAACCUGCCUUGUACAGGGGGAUAACAGUUGGAAACGGCUGCUAAUACCGCAUAAGCGCACAGCAUCGCAUGAUGCAGUGUGAAAAACUCCGGUGGUAUAAGAUGGACCCGCGUUGGAUUAGCUAUUUGGUGAGGUAACGGCCCACCAAGGCGACGAUCCAUAGCCGACCUGGGAGGGUGACCGGCCACAUUGGGACUGAGACACGGCCCAAACUCCUACGGGAGGCAGCAGUGGGGAAUAUUGCACAAUGGGCGAAAGCCUGAUGCAGCGACGCCGCGUGAGCGAAGAAGUAUUUCGGUAUGUAAAGCUCUAUCAGCAGGGAAGAUAAUGACGGUACCUGACGAAGAAGCACCGGCUAAAUACGUG